rnacentral:rRNA from 1 species
CAGCAGCAGCCGCGGGAAUACGUAGGGUCCGAGCGUUGUCCGGAAUUAUUGGGCGUAAAGGGCUCGUAGGCGGUUUGUUGCGUCGGGAGUGAAAACCCAGGGCUUAACUUUGGGCUUGCUUUCGAUACGGGCAGACUUGAGGCAUUGAGGGGAGAACGGAAUUCCUGGUGUAGCGGUGAAAUGCGCAGAUAUCAGGAGGAACACCGGUGGCGAAGGCGGUUCUCUGGCAAUGUUCUGACGCUGAGGAGCGAAAGUGUGGGGAGCGAACAGGAUUAGAUACCCGUGUAGUCCCUGUCUCUUAUAC